AAAUACAACUUUCAACAACGGAUCUCUUGGCUCUCGCAUCGAUGAAGAACGCAGCGAAAUGCGAUAAGUAAUGUGAAUUGCAGAAUUCAGUGAAUCAUCGAAUCUUUGAACGCACCUUGCGCCCCUUGGUAUUCCGAGGGGCAUGCCUGUUUGAGUGUCAUGUUAAC
rnacentral:rRNA from 1 species